ACUCCUACGGGAGGCAGCAGUGGGGAAUCUUGCACAAUGGAGGAAACUCUGAUGCAGCGAUGCCGCGUGAGUGAAGAAGGCCUUUGGGUUGUAAAGCUCUUUUGUAGGGGAAGAUAAUGACUGUACCCUAAGAAUAAGGUCCGGCUAACUUCGUGCCAGCAGCCGCGGUAAUAC
rnacentral:rRNA from 1 species